GACGAACGCUGGCGGCGUGCCUAAUACAUGCAAGUCGAGCGAUCAAAGGUGGUGCUUGUACCUCCUGGGUUAGCAGCGAACGGGUGAGUAACGCGUGGGUAAUCUGCCUAUGAGCGGGGGACAACUUUUGGAAACGAAUGCUAAUACCGCAUAAUAACUUUAACCACAAGUUUUAAUAUUGAAAGAUGCAAUUGCAUCAAUCAAUGAUGAUCCCGCGUUGUCUUAGCUAGUUGGUGAGGUAAAGGCUUACCAAGGCAAGCAUGCUUAACCGACCUGAAAGGGGGACGGCCAAAUUGGGAAUGGGACACCGCCCAAGCUCCUAACGGAGGGAGCAGGAAGGAAUCUUCGGCAAUGGGCGGAAAGCUGACCGGACAACGGCGGGGGAGGGAAGAAAGUUUUCGGAUCGUAAAACUCUGUUGGUAGGGAAGAACGUUGGGGAGAAGGAAAAGCGCAUGAAGUGACGGUAACUACCCAGAAAGGGACGGCUAACUACGUG
rnacentral:rRNA from 1 species